CAGAACGAACGUUAGCGGCGCGCCUAACACAUGCAAGUCGUACGAGAAAGGGCUUCGGCCCCGGUACAGUGGCGCACGGGUGAGUAACACGUAGGUAAUCUUCCCUCGAGUGGCGGAUAACCCUUCGAAAGGGGGGCUAAUACGGCAUAAGACCACGUCUUCGAAAGAGGAUGGGGUCAAAGCGGGCCUCUGCACGCAAGCUCGCGCUUGAGGAUGAGCCUGCGGCCCAUCAGCUAGUUGGCAGGGUAACGGCCUACCAAGGCAAAGACGGGUAGCUGGUCUGAGAGGAUGAUCAGCCACACUGGAACUGAGACACGGUCCAGACUCCUACGGGAGGCAGCAGUGGGGAAUUUUGCGCAAUGGACGAAAGUCUGACGCAGCGACGCCGCGUGGGUGAUGAAGGCCUUCGGGUUGUAAAGCCCUGUGGGGAGGGAAGAAUAAGGGACGGUGAAUAUCCGUUCCGAUGACGGUACCUCCUUAGCAAGCACCGGCUAACUCUGUGCCAGCAGCCGCGGUAAGACAGAGGGUGCAAACGUUGUUCGGGAUUACUGGGCGUAAAGCGCGUGUAGGCGGCCGCGAAAGUCGGAUGUGAAAGCCCUUGGCUCAACUGAGGAAGUGCAUCCGAAACUGCGCGGCUUGAGUCCCGGAGAGGAUGGUGGAAUUCUCGGUGUAGAGGUGAAAUUCGUAGAUAUCGAGAGGAACACCGGUGGCGAAGGCGGCCAUCUGGACGGUGACUGACGCUGAGACGCGAAAGCAUGGGGAGCAAACAGGAUUAGAUACCCUGGUAGUCCAUGCUGUAAACGAUGGGUGCUAGGUGUCGCGGGCAUUGACCCCUGCGGUGCCGAAGCAAACGCAUUAAGCACCCCGCCUGGGGAG
rnacentral:rRNA from 1 species